rnacentral:piRNA from 1 species
UAUUAGGUCAAGGAGUCCCCUGCU